rnacentral:rRNA from 1 species
AGUGAACGCUGGCGGUAGGCCUAACACAUGCAAGUCGAACGGCAGCACAGUAAGAGCUUGCUCUUACGGGUGGCGAGUGGCGGACGGGUGAGGAAUACAUCGGAAUCUACUUUUUCGUGGGGGAUAACGUAGGGAAACUUACGCUAAUACCGCAUACGACCUACGGGUGAAAGCAGGGGAUCUUCUGACCUUGCGCGAUUGAAUGAGCCGAUGUCGGAUUAGCUAGUUGGCGGGGUAAAGGCCCACCAAGGCGACGAUCCGUAGCUGGUCUGAGAGGAUGAUCAGCGACACUGGAACUGAGACACGGUCCAGACGCCUACGGGAGGCAGCAGUGGGGAAUAUUGGACAAUGGGCGCAAGCCUGAUCCAGCCAUACCGCGUGGGUGAAGAAGGCCUUCGGGUUGUAAAGCCCUUUUGUUGGGAAAGAAAAGCAGCAGGUUAAUACCCCGCUGUUCUGACGGUACCCAAAGAAUAAGCACCGGCUAACUUCGUG